GAUGAACGCUGGCGGUGUGCUUAACACAUGCAAGUCGAACGGAAAGGCCAGUGCUUGCACUGGUACUCGAGUGGCGAACGGGUGAGUAACACGUGGGUGAUCUGCCCUGCACUUCGGGAUAAGCCUGGGAAACUGGGUCUAAUACCGGAUAGGACAAUGGUUUGGAUGCCGUUGUGGAAAGUUUUUUCGGUGUGGGAUGAGCUCGCGGCCUAUCAGCUUGUUGGUGGGGUAAUGGCCUACCAAGGCGUCGACGGGUAGCCGGCCUGAGAGGGUGUACGGCCACAUUGGGACUGAGAUACGGCCCAGACUCCUACGGGAGGCAGCAGUGGGGAAUAUUGCACAAUGGGCGCAAGCCUGAGGCAGCGACGCCGCGUGGGGGAUGACGGCCUUCGGGUUGUAAACUCCUUUCGCUAGGGACGAAGCGUAUUUGUGACGGUACCUGGAGAAGAAGCACCGGCUAACUACGUG
rnacentral:rRNA from 1 species